GAUGAACGCUGGCGGCGUGCCUAAUACAUGCAAGUCGAGCGAACAGACGAGGAGCUUGCUCCUCUGACGUUAGCGGCGGACGGGUGAGUAACACGUGGAUAACCUACCUAUAAGACUGGGAUAACUUCGGGAAACCGGAGCUAAUACCGGAUAAUAUAUUGAACCGCAUGGUUCAAUAGUGAAAGACGGUUUUGCUGUCACUUAUAGAUGGAUCCGUGCCGCAUUAGCUAGUUGGUAAGGUAACGGCUUACCAAGGCAACGAUGCGUAGCCGACCUGAGAGGGUGAUCAGCCACACUGGAACUGAGACACGGUCCAGACUCCUACGGGAGGCAGCAGUAGGGAAUCUUCCGCAAUGGGCGAAAGCUUGACGGAGCAACGCCGCGUGAGUGAUGAAGGUCUUCGGAUCGUAAAGCUCUGUUAUUAGGGAAGAAAAAAUGUGUAAGUAACUAUGCACGUCUUGACGGUACCUAAUCAGAAAGCCACGGCUAACUACGUG
rnacentral:rRNA from 1 species